rnacentral:tRNA from 6 species
GGGGUGUUAGCUCAGUUGGUAGAGCAGUGGACUCUUAAUCCAUAGGUCUAGGGUUCGAAUCCCUAACACCCCACCA